GUUUGUACUUGUUUAAAUUCAAACAAUAGCAUACUACUUACACGUGAGUCCUGAUUGGUUCCAGAGCCAUUGAAUGGUUGUGAUUGGUUCUUAUGAUAAUGAGCUCGCCUCACACCGCCUGAAAGGACUUUGACCUCACUCAGAGCCUCCGUUUGUCCGACAAUAUUCUGUUGUGCGUAAAUGUUACUUGACUGUGAUUAGAUUUAGAGGUCUAUAUUUGAACAUGUCUUUAGAGGACUAUGAAGAAACCACGCGAUGCGGAUUAGGUGAUAUUUUUUUGUGAUUAACUUUUUAAAACGUAGCGUUUUGAGAAGACAUACUGUAGUGUUGAUUUUACCCAGCUUCUUCAAGUUUGCAUGGCGUGUGACAUUUGGAACCUCAUUAUGUUGUGAUUCUAGUUCAGCUACAUUCAAUUUGACCAAUCAUAGCCAAGCUUUUCAAGUGACGUCGAAGCAGACUCGAAGAGAUGAAGAUGCUGCCUUAGUAGAAGUUACUGACAGCUGCUAUAAGAAAAAUUGAAAUUGGAAAGAAAACGCAAUUCUAAUGCGGAUGUUAAAUUCAACCAGAGGUUUGCGACUUCUUCUGUCCGUUAUCUUGUAAUACGGGAAUGCUGUGAUAUUGAAUUAAAACAAUGUUCUGUCCUAAUAUUUUUCAUAAUGAGUUACUAUAAAGUGUACUUUCUUUUUCAAGUGUGUAAAGUUUUAUCGUGAAAAUCAGCAUAAUGUUAGUAUAGUAAACGUGUAAUAUAUUUACAAAGUACAAUUCUGUGCAAGUAUUGGCAAUGUACUAUUGAAAAUGUGAAUAUACUGUAUUUAUUGACCAAUAAAGUACUUUUUUCACCUGGAAAGUGUGUUCAGUAGUCCCUUAUUUAAUUCAGCCUUCAGUAUACUGGUAGCCUACAUGCUAACCAAAAAGUAGCCUAGCAGAUAAUAACAGAUAUUGAUAAGUAGCUAAAAACUGUACUUUCUUACUAAUUUGAAUAAACCCAAAGUAGAACUGAGCAUACU